rnacentral:rRNA from 1 species
GACGAACGCUGGCGGCGUGCUUAACACAUGCAAGUCGAACGGAAAGGCCCUGCUUUUGUGGGGUGCUCAAGUGGCGAACGGGUGAGUAACACGUGAGUAACCUGCCCUUGACUUUGGGAUAACUUCAGGAAACUGGGGCUAAUACCGGAAAGGAGUUCCUGCUGCAUGGUGGGGGUUGGAAAGUUUCGGCGGUUGGGGAUGGACUCGCGGCCUAUCAGCUUGUUGGUGGGGUAGUGGCUUACCAAGGCUUUGACGGGUAGCCGGCCUGAGAGGGUGGCCGGCCACCUUGGGGCGGAGGGAAGGCCCGAACUGCUUCCGGCGGGAGGAGGGAGGAAGUAUUCCUAAUGGGCGGAAGCCAGGUUGAGGAACGGCCGCUGCGGGAAGGACGACGUUCGGUUGAUUACCCCCUUUUGCCGUGAGGGAAGGGAAAGGACGGUAAUGGGUAAAGAAGCACCGGCUAACUACGUG